UCAAGUGAAUAAGUGCAUCAGGCGGAUGCCUUGGCGAUGAUAGGCGACGAAGGACGUGUAAGCCUGCGAAAAGCGCGGGGGAGCUGGCAAUAAAGCUAUGAUUCCGCGAUGUCCGAAUGGGGAAACCCACUGCAUUCUGUGCAGUAUCCUAAGUUGAAUACAUAGGCUUAGAGAAGCGAACCCGGAGAACUGAACCAUCUAAGUACCCGGAGGAAAAGAAAUCAACCGAGAUUCCGCAAGUAGUGGCGAGCGAACGCGGAGGAGCCUGUACGUAAUAACUGUCGAGAUAGAAGAACAAGCUGGGAAGCUUGACCAUAGCGGGUGACAGUCCCGUAUUCGAAAUCUCAACAGCGGUACUAAGCGUACGAAAAGUAGGGCGGGACACGUGAAAUCCUGUCUGAAUAUGGGGGGACCAUCCUCCAAGGCUAAAUACUCAUCAUCGACCGAUAGUGAACCAGUACCGUGAGGGAAAGGCGAAAAGAACCCCGGGAGGGGAGUGAAACAGAACCUGAAACCUGAUGCAUACAAACAGUGGGAGCGCCCUAGUGGUGUGACUGCGUACCUUUUGUAUAAUGGGUCAACGACUUACAUUCAGUAGCGAGCUUAACCGGAUAGGGGAGGCGUAGGGAAACCGAGUCUUAAUAGGGCGAUGAGUUGCUGGGUGUAGACCCGAAACCGAGUGAUCUAUCCAUGGCCAGGUUGAAGGUGCCGUAACAGGUACUGGAGGACCGAACCCACGCAUGUUGCAAAAUGCGGGGAUGAGCUGUGGGUAGGGGUGAAAGGCUAAACAAACUCGGAGAUAGCUGGUUCUCCCCGAAAACUAUUUAGGUAGUGCCUCGAGCAAGACACUGAUGGGGGUAAAGCACUGUUAUGGCUAGGGGGUUAUUGCAACUUACCAACCCAUGGCAAACUCAGAAUACCAUCAAGUGGUUCCUCGGGAGACAGACAGCGGGUGCUAACGUCCGUUGUCAAGAGGGAAACAACCCAGACCGCCGGCUAAGGUCCCAAAUGAUAGAUUAAGUGGUAAACGAAGUGGGAAGGCACAGACAGCCAGGAUGUUGGCUUAGAAGCAGCCAUCAUUUAAAGAAAGCGUAAUAGCUCACUGGUCGAGUCGUCCUGCGCGGAAGAUGUAACGGGGCUCAAAUCUAUAACCGAAGCUGCGGAUGCCGGUUUACCGGCAUGGUAGGGGAGCGUUCUGUAGGCUGAUGAAGGUGCAUUGUAAAGUGUGCUGGAGGUAUCAGAAGUGCGAAUGUUGACAUGAGUAGCGAUAAAGCGGGUGAAAAGCCCGCUCGCCGAAAGCCCAAGGUUUCCUACGCAACGUUCAUCGGCGUAGGGUAAGUCGGCCCCUAAGGCGAGGCAGAAAUGCGUAGUCGAUGGGAAACAGGUUAAUAUUCCUGUACUUGAUUCAAAUGCGAUGUGGGGACGGAGAAGGUUAGGUUGGCAAGCUGUUGGAAUAGCUUGUUUAAGCCGGUAGGUGGAAGACUUAGGCAAAUCCGGGUUUUCUUAACACCGAGAAGUGAUGACGAGUGUCUACGGACACGAAGCAACCGAUACCACGCUUCCAGGAAAAGCCACUAAGCUUCAGUUUGAAUCGAACCGUACCGCAAACCGACACAGGUGGGCAGGAUGAGAAUUCUAAGGCGCUUGAGAGAACUCGGGAGAAGGAACUCGGCAAAUUGAUACCGUAACUUCGGGAGAAGGUAUGCCCUCUAAGGUUAAGGACUUGCUCCGUAAGCCCCGGAGGGUCGCAGAGAAUAGGUGGCUGCGACUGUUUAUUAAAAACACAGCACUCUGCCAACACGAAAGUGGACGUAUAGGGUGUGACGCCUGCCCGGUGCCGGAAGGUUAAUUGAAGAUGUGCAAGCAUCGGAUCGAAGCCCCGGUAAACGGCGGCCGUAACUAUAACGGUCCUAAGGUAGCGAAAUUCCUUGUCGGGUAAGUUCCGACCCGCACGAAUGGCGUAACGAUGGCCACACUGUCUCCUCCCGAGACUCAGCGAAGUUGAAGUGGUUGUGAAGAUGCAAUCUACCCGCUGCUAGACGGAAAGACCCCGUGAACCUUUACUGUAGCUUUGCAUUGGACUUUGAAGUCACUUGUGUAGGAUAGGUGGGAGGCUUGGAAGCAGAGACGCCAGUCUCUGUGGAGUCGUCCUUGAAAUACCACCCUGGUGUCUUUGAGGUUCUAACCCAGACCCGUCAUCCGGGUCGGGGACCGUGCAUGGUAGGCAGUUUGACUGGGGCGGUCUCCUCCCAAAGCGUAACGGAGGAGUUCGAAGGUUACCUAGGUCCGGUCGGAAAUCGGACUGAUAGUGCAAUGGCAAAAGGUAGCUUAACUGCGAGACCGACAAGUCGGGCAGGUGCGAAAGCAGGACAUAGUGAUCCGGUGGUUCUGUAUGGAAGGGCCAUCGCUCAACGGAUAAAAGGUACUCCGGGGAUAACAGGCUGAUUCCGCCCAAGAGUUCAUAUCGACGGCGGAGUUUGGCACCUCGAUGUCGGCUCAUCACAUCCUGGGGCUGUAGUCGGUCCCAAGGGUAUGGCUGUUCGCCAUUUAAAGUGGUACGUGAGCUGGGUUUAAAACGUCGUGAGACAGUUUGGUCUCUAUCUGCAGUGGGCGUUGGAAGUUUGACGGGGGCUGCUCCUAGUACGAGAGGACCGGAGUGGACGAACCUCUGGUGUACCGGUUGUAACGCCAGUUGCAUAGCCGGGUAGCUAAGUUCGGAAGAGAUAAGCGCUGAAAGCAUCUAAGCGCGAAACUCGCCUGAAGAUGAGACUUCCCUUGCGGUUUAACCGCACUAAAGGGUCGUUCGAGACCAGGACGUUGAUAGGUGGGGUGUGGAAGCGCGGUAACGCGUGAAGCUAACCCAUACUAAUUGCCCGUGAGGCUUGACU
rnacentral:rRNA from 1 species